rnacentral:rRNA from 1 species
GUGUCAGCAGCCGCGGUAAUACGUAGGUUGCGAGCGUUGUCCGGAUUUACUGGGCGUAAAGCGCGCGCAGGUGGUCCUGAAAGUCGAGCGUGAAAGCUCCCGGCCCAACUGGGAGAGGCCGUUCGAAACUUCAGGACUUGAAGGCGGGAGAGGCAAAUGGAAUUUCCGGUGUAGCGGUAAAAUGCGUAGAUACCGGAAGGAACACCAGUGGCGAAAGCGAUUUGCUGGCCCGCCCUUGACACUCAGGCGCGAAAGCUAGGGGAGCGACCGGGAUUAGAAACCCCCGUAGUCC